CUUAUUAAAAAGGUUCCUUCGACAUCAAAUGGCUCUUAAAAAUCAAUAUUUUGAUGAUUUAAGUGCAAGAGAAUCAGAAACAUAUGGAUCAAAUUGCCCUAAAAUUAUACACACUUAAAAAAAUGUGUUGGUCUUUAGCAAGAUCCAAAUAUUUGAAAAACAGAGACAUUUUCCUCAUCUCCUGACAGAGCUCUGCUAGGUCAACUUGAGGAGUCCAGAGAGGUGCUACUCAGGAGGCUGAGGCAGGAGAAUCGCUUGAACCUGGGAGGCGGAGUUUGCGGCAGGAGAAUCGCUUGAACCUGGGAGGCGGAGUUUGCAGUGAGCCGAGAUCACGGCAUUGCACUCCAGCCUCAGCAACAAGAGCAAAACUCCGUCUUAAAAAAAAAAAAAAAUGGCCCAGAGCAGGAAAACCAAAGGUAUAAGGUUGGGACCAGAGGAAAAGCUGUCACACACAUGCAGAAACCACGGCCCAGGGAAGACGCAGCUUGAGCAAGGUCACCGGCAGUUUCCUUUGCAGUAAAAUGGGAAUAAAAAGAAAAUCUACGUAACAGUAGAUAUUCUGUGAGGAUUACGUGAAUUCAUAUUUGAAGAGUGAGUAGAAGGGUUCCUGGCACAAGCUCUACAAGUGUGGCUGGAAUGAAUAUGAUGAUGAGGAUGAAGAUGAGGAUGGCGGGGCUGGAGCUCAAGUGCCAUACUGUGUCCUGGAGCAGAAGCCACGUGUUGAGGACAGUCUGGACCCUUAACGAGGGUUGAGCCACGACACCAGCCUGUGACUGUUUACCUCUUGAGUUUGUUUACAGGAGAAGAAAAUAAACUCUCACCUUGUUUAACACACCA
rnacentral:lncRNA from 1 species